UACGUAGGGGGCAAGCGUUGUCCGGAAUCAUUGGGCGUAAAGCGCGUGUAGGCGGUUCGGUAAGUCUGCUGUGAAAGUCCAGGGCUCAACCCUGGGAUGCCGGUGGAUACUGUCGGACUAGAGUACGGAAGAGGCGAGUGGAAUUCCCGGUGUAGCGGUGAAAUGCGCAGAUAUCGGGAGGAACACCAAUUGCGAAGGCAGCUCGCUGGGACGGUACUGACGCUAAGGCGCGAAAGCGUGGGGAGCGAACAGG
rnacentral:rRNA from 1 species